UCACUCUAAUGCACACGCACCCAUUAGUCUUCCUUUUAUUUCUCUUUGUCCAUAGGGGCCCCUCCCCUCCCCCAUUGUUGCUCGAACACAGGGAACAUCAAAAGCUUUUCUGCGAGGUUUUUAGGAGAAGCGAGGCCAUCAGAAGCGAAGCGCAGGUGCUAGAGAGCUCCUCCGUCCAGCAGCGGCUGGUCAAGCCCGGCGAGUCCUGUGUAUUCCUGGGUGAGGAUGACCUUGAACUCCUGACCCUCCCUUUGCUGUCCAAGUACUGGAUGACAGGCGUGUUCUACCACUGUGCUUCUGCUAAUAAAAUAGGUUUUUAAUCUAAAACAUACAGAUUGUAUGUUAAACAUA